GUGGGGAAUUUUGGACAAUGGGCGCAAGCCUGAUCCAGCAAUGCCGCGUGCAGGAAGAAGGCCUUCGGGUUGUAAACUGCUUUUGUACGGAACGAAACGGUCCUGGUUAAUACCUGGGGCUAAUGACGGUACCGUAAGAAUAAGCACCGGCUAACUACGUGCCAGCAGCCGCGGUAAUACGUAGGGUGCGAGCGUUAAUCGGAAUUACUGGGCGGAAAGCGUGCGCAGGCGGUGCUGUAAGACAGGCGUGAAAUCCCCGGGCUCAACCUGGGAAUUGCGCUUGUGACUGCAGUGCUGGAGUACGGCAGAGGGGGAUGGAAUUCCGCGUGUAGCAGUGAAAUGCGUAGAUAUGCGGAGGAACACCGAUGGCGAAGGCAGUCCCCUGGGCCUGUACUGACGCUCAUGCACGAAAGCGUGGGGAGCAAACAGGAUUAGAUACCCUGGUAGUCC
rnacentral:rRNA from 1 species